CCGUGCGAAGGUAGCGUAAUCACUUGUCUUUUAAUGAGGACCCGUAUGAAUGACAAAACGAGGGCUCAACUGUCUCCUUCUUUCAGUCAAUGAAUUGAUCUCCCCGUGCAGAAGCGGGGAUUAAUCCAUAAGACGAGAAGACCCUAUGAAGCUUUAGACACUAGGACAUACCCUGUCAAUACCCCCUUAUUAAAGGGCCAAAACCUGCCCCCAUGUCCCCGUCUUAGGUUGGGGCGACCCCGGGGAACAAAAAACCCCCACGUGGAACAGUAACUCACUACCACAGCCGAGAGCCACCACUCCAAAAACCAGAACCUCUGACCAAUAUGACCCGGAAUGCCAUCAACGAACAAGUUAUCUAGGAUAACAGCGCAAUCCCCUUUUUAGAGACCGCAUCAACAAGGGGUUUAC
rnacentral:rRNA from 1 species